rnacentral:rRNA from 1 species
UACGUAGGGUGCGAGCGUUAUCCGGAAUUAUUGGGCGUAAAGAGCGCGCAGGUGGUUGAUUAAGUCUGAUGUGAAAGCCCACGGCUUAACCGUGGAGGGUCAUUGGAAACUGGUCGACUUGAGUGCAGAAGAGGGAAGUGGAAUUCCAUGUGUAGCGGUGAAAUGCGUAGAUAUAUGGAGGAACACCAGUGGCGAAGGCGACUUUCUGGUCUAUUAUUGACGCUGAGGCUCGAAAGCAUGGGUAGCAAACAGGAUUAGAUA